rnacentral:rRNA from 1 species
GACGAACCGAGCGAACGUUGUUCGGAAUCACUGGGCUUAAAGGGCGCGUAGGCGGAUUCUCAAGUCCGGGGUGAAAUCCCACAGCUCAACUGUGGAACUGCCUCGGAUACUGGGAGUCUCGAGGGUGGCAGGGGUAUGCGGAACUAUCGGUGGAGCGGUGAAAUGCGUUGAUAUCGAUAGGAACUCCGGUGGCGAAGGCGGCAUACUGGACCGAUAUUGACGCUGAUGCGCGAAAGCUAGGGGAGCAAACGGG